rnacentral:lncRNA from 1 species
CAUCAACAUCUAGAAGAACCAAUCCUCAGCACCGACCAGUUCAUCACCAUGAGCCCAAUCCUCUGCCUGAGCGUCCUCGUGAUGCUUUUCUGCACAGAGACCGGAGCACUCAAGUGUUACACUUGUGAUGGAGACGACUGCACAAAAGUUGAAGAAUGUGACGACAGAAAUAUCUGCAUGAGCUCUACUUCUCUGCGUACUGUCUGCUUCUCUUCAUUUAUUUUAGAAUUCAAACAAUAAUAAGUUCUGCUUUGAAUGCUAAUCAAUCUUUUGUUUACCCUUACAGACAUGGUAGGCACAGAGCCCAAUAUAACGAGGGCCAAGUUUUGUACAACAGCUAAUUACUGUCAAGAGAUUGAUUCGAUUUUCAACCAUCACCAUGUGUCCAUCAACAUUAAUUUUGUGUCAAUUGUGGCGAGUGUCAAGUGCUGCAGUACAGACCUCUGCAACACUGAUAAUCCGCCAGACCCGCCACAAUAUACGUUGACACCAACUGGUUUUCAGUGCAAAUUCUGUUUGUCGGAUGAGAAGACUUGCCGAAUUCAAGAAUGCAUGGGAGUACAAACUCAUUGCCGGAGAACAAUUUUCAACGGACGACCACAGGAAGGAUGUGCAACUUCAAACUUUUGUGGCGAGGAGAGAUAUAACAGAACAGAAGCAUUUCCAGGCUUUGCUGGUAGUCUUCAAUUUCCAGCAACAUGUUCAUUGGCCAAAUUCAUUAUCUUUGAACCAACAACCACUGAACCAACAACGGCUGAACCAACAACGGCUGAACCAACAACCGCUGAACCAACAACCGCUGAACCAACAACCGCUGAACCAACAACCACUGAACCAACAACCGCUGAACCAACAAUGGCUGAACCAACAACGGCUGAACCAACAACCGCUGAACCAACAACCGCUGAACCAACAACCGCUGAACCAAAGUGUGUCCCAAUUGAAACCACUCCUGAACCAACCCUGCCACCCUGUGGCAGAAAAGGAUAACUACUCUCACUAAAUGUUGAUUAAAGUCUGGGUGUCUCUUUAGUGGAUCCUACAUCAAACAUGCAGAUCUUAAACUUAUCAGACCACCACCUGGUGUGAGGUUAAAUCACAGCUGCAGAUAAUCACACCAUUGGUAAAUAUCUUUGUUUCUGUCAUUUGGCUAAUCUCAUAAACAAAGUAAUGGUGGUUGGUGGUCGCAUACAUUUGUUAACCAACAUAUUUGAUGUUUUGCUUUUUAUCGAAAUAAUUAGAUGAUGAAUUAAGG